rnacentral:rRNA from 1 species
UACGAAGGGGGGCUAGCGUUGUUCGGAAUUACUGGGGCGUAAAAGGGCGCGUAGGCGGUCCCUCAAGUCAGGCGUGAAAGCCCCGGGCUCAACCUGGGAACCGCGCUUGAGACUGAUGGGCUAGAGUUCGGGAGAGGAUGGUGGAAUUCCCAGUGUAGAGGUGAAAUUCGUAGAUAUUGGGAAGAACACCGAUGGCGAAGGCAGCCAUCUGGACCGACACUGACGCUGAGGCGCGAAAAGCGUGGGGGAGCAAACAGGAUUAGAUACCCGUGUAGUCC